CCUACGGGGGGCAGCAGUGAGGAAUAUUGGUCAAUGGCCGGAAGGCUGAACCAGCCAUGCCGCGUGAAGGUCAGUGCCCUAUGGGCGUUAAACUUCUUUUGUGCGGGAGCAAUAAUGGUCACGUGUGGCCAGACGAGAGUACCGUACGAAUAAGCAUCGGCUAACUCCGUGCCAGCAGCCGCGGUAAUACGGGGGAUGCAAGCGUUAUCCGGAUUUAUUGGGUUUAAAGGGUGCGUAGGCUGUGAGGUAAGUCAGCGGUGAAAUGCCCCCGCUCAACGGGGUGAAGUGCCAUUGAUACUGGCUGGCUGGAAUGCGGAUGCGGUGGGAGGAAUGUGUGGUGUAGCGGUGAAAUGCAUAGAUAUCACACAGAACACCGAUUGCGAAGGCAUCUCACGAAUCCGCGAUUGACGCUGAUGCACGAAAGCGUGGGUAUCAAACAGGAUUAGAUACCCUGGUAGUC
rnacentral:rRNA from 1 species